UGUGUGUGUGUGUGUGUGUGUGUGUGUGCGCCAAUGUUUUUGGAGGGAAACGCAUGUGCGACUGUGUUUGUGGCUGAGAAAGAGAUGAAACGGCGGAGGAACAUGUCGACGGAACGGUUACCGGACGUAACGAUGAAACACACUGCUCGCUCCUGGACGCGUUUCUUUGCGUUUCUCGGCGCAUUCGAACCGAUCGGAAAUCACGUUCCGUGGCGGAAAUGAGCGUGACACGUAAGAUCGUUGGAAAAAUGCGAAACAUUCGAGGAGAUUCGACGAAAGAUAGAACAAUAAAUUCGUAAAUUUAACCUGUGAACAUUUAAAUAUGGUGGAAGGAACGCGUCGGCGGCUCAGUGUUGCCAGUACGGAAGUGCUAGAUGACGAUAUUGCCAGGUUUGCUCCCUCCAAAACGGCGCGUGUAUUGGCAGCAUUGUUUUUUGGUAGUUUACAAAUAAAAUGGCCGAUAUAUGAGGCUAUUUUGUAUGGACAAUAAAAUAUGCAAUUCUGUAAAAUUAAUGACCAUCGGCUGCUCGUGUGUGUAUGUCAAAGUAUAGGUUCAGUGCCGCGAAAUACGCGGAAAGAAGGUGAAGUGUAA